GUUGCGAUGGCAGAGCCCGGUAAAAUGCGAAAGGCCUAAGCCCUUUUUCUCAGAGGUUCAAAUCCUCUUCCCAACU
rnacentral:tRNA from 2 species